rnacentral:rRNA from 1 species
UACGUAGGCGGAAAAUUAAGUCAGUAGUGAAAUCCUGCAGCUUAACUGUAGAACUGUUAUUGAUACUGGUUUUCUUGAAUAUAGUUGAGGUAGGCGGAAUGUGUAAUGUAGCGGUGAAAUGCUUAGAUAUUACACAGAACACCGAUUGCGAAGGCAGCUUACUAAGCUAUGAUUGACGCUGAGGUACGAAAGCGUGGGGAGCGAACCGGAUUAGAUACCCGUGUAGUCC